rnacentral:rRNA from 1 species
AGAGAAGGGCCUAAUCAUGCAAGUCGAGCGGACAGAUGGGAGCUUGCUCCCUGAUGUUAGCGGCGGACGGGUGACUAACACGUGGGUAACCUGCCUGUAAGACUGGGAUAACUCCGGGAAACCGGGGCUAAUACCGGAUGCUUGUUUGAACCGCAUGGUUCAAACAUAAAAGGUGGCUUCGGCUACCACUUACAGAUGGACCCGCGGCGCAUUAGCUAGUUGGUGAGGUAACGGCUCACCAAGGCGACGAUGCGUAGCCGACCUGAGAGGGUGAUCGGCCACACUGGGACUGAGACACGGCCCAGACUCCUACGGGAGGCAGCAGUAGGGAAUCUUCCGCAAUGGACGAAAGUCUGACGGAGCAACGCCGCGUGAGUGAUGAAGGUUUUCGGAUCGUAAAGCUCUGUUGUUAGGGAAGAACAAGUGCCGUUCAAAUAGGGCGGCACCUUGACGGUACCUAACCAGAAAGCCACGGCUAACUACGUGCCAGCAGCCGCGGUAAUACGUAGGUGGCAAGCGUUGUCCGGAAUUAUUGGGCGUAAAGGGCUCGCAGGCGGUUUCUUAAGUCUUAUGUGAAAGCCCCCGGCUCAACCGGGGAGG